AUUCUCACUCCCAACUCGUCAUAUACUGACGCUUGGUCAGGAACCCUCGGCGUAAGUUAUUGACGCACAGGGUACCCCUUUAGCGUCAUAUUUAGACGUGCAGGGAUUCCCUAUAGAAUCUGUGCCUGAGCCUGAGGCGUCAUAGGGAGACGCUGGAGGCUCGUAUAAUUACCAAUAGAUGUCAACGCAAUUUUUAAAACCUGAUUUACGCCUAUUAUCUUAGUUUUCUUUUUUUAAAAAUAUGUAAUUUUUAUUUUGUUCACGAAAAGCGUCUGUAAACUGGGUCGAAACUACUGUAUGAAUAAACUUCGGUCCACGUGACAUCCCUUCACGUCUAUGCUCGCUAUCCCAAGGUUCAUUGCGAUCCCAAGCUUCACUGCGGUUUUCCACAAGAUGCAGAAACUUUUGACAUAUGAAUUCAUCUUGACUAAGGAACUCUUCACAGCACUGCAUCUGAACAGUCACAACCUCACAGAGCUGCACAACUGCCCCACUCAAGAUCAGUGUUGAAGCUGAAACCUCAUCUUGUGUACAGCAAAGGCAGAGCUGAAAAUUCACUGUUUGUCUUGUAUUGUGUGUGGCAAAACCUGGAAUAACACAUGGGAGCCCUCCAGGAAUUCCUGACACUUUACACCCAAGUCUCCUCAUGCCAACCGGAUUGCAAUAUGACAGUCUAGUCAGCAUAAACACCUGGACUCACCAAGCACACUUUGGUUCUCAGUGUUUUGUAAAAAUUGUUUUUGCUAUUCUUCAGUAAAUACUUGAAUAUGUUUUGAACUUAUUCUACUUUUGAUGUUUAAGUUCAGAAAGUUGUUGUUAUUAUAAACAUAAUUUGCAUUUGUCAUGAACUUGACUUCUUGUUGUUGUGAAAGCUGUUUAUUAUAAUGGCAUUUCCAAAGGCAUCAUUUGAAAAGAUUUAUUGCAGUGCAGUUUUACUUGAGCUUGAGCAUACCAGAUGUAUGACAUGAAUAAAUAUCACAAAAUAAAUAUAAUAAUAAUAAUACAAAAUAUACAUUUCCUUCAAUUAUAAUUGUUUUUAAUCAUUUAUAUAUGUAUGGUAAUAUAUUAUUGCAUUAAAAACUGUUAUAAAAUAUAUUUUUUUGGUUUUUGCAUUUUUGCAUGAUUUUUAUUAUUUAUUUUAUUUGUGGCAUUAUAAAUAAAUUAUGUUUCAUUAAAAA
rnacentral:lncRNA from 1 species